GCCAGGCAUGGUGGCAUACGCCUGUAAUCCCAGUGGCUCGGGAGGCCGAGACAGGUGGAUUGCGAGUUCAAAUUCAGCCUCAGCACCAGUGAGGUGCUAAGCAACUCAGUGAGACCCUGUCUCUA
rnacentral:sRNA from 1 species